GACGAACCGUGCGAACGUUGUUCGGAAUCAUUGGGCUUAAAGGGCGCGUAGGCGGGCUUUCAAGUCUGGGUUGAAAUACUCUAGCUCAACUAGAGAACUGGCCUGGAUACUGAAGGUCUCGAGGAACGUAGGGGCAUCUGGAACUAAUGGUGGAGCGGUGAAAUGCGUUGAUAUCAUUAGGAACUCCGGUGGCGAAGGCGAGGUGCUGGACGUUUUCUGACGCUGAGGCGCGAAAGCCAGGGGAGCGAACGGG
rnacentral:rRNA from 1 species